rnacentral:rRNA from 1 species
CGCCAGACUCCUACGGGAGGCAGCAGUGGGGAAUAUUGGGCAAUGGGGGAAACCCUGACCCAGCGACGCCGCGUGAGGGAAGAAGGUUUUCGGAUUGUAAACCUCUGUCCUUGGUGACGAUAAUGACGGUAGCCAAGGAGGAAGCCACGGCUAACUACGUGCCAGCAGCCGCGGUAAUACGUAGGUGGCAAGCGUUAUCCGGAUUUACUGGGUGUAAAGGGAGCGUAGACGGCGAUACAAGUCUGAAGUGAAAGCCCGGGGCUCAACCCCGGGACUGCUUUGGAAACUGUGUUGCUGGAGUGCUGGAGAGGCAAGCGGAAUUCCUAGUGUAGCGGUGAAAUGCGUAGAUAUUAGGAAGAACACCAGUGGCGAAGGCGGCUUGCUGGACAGUAACUGACGUUGAGGCUCGAAAGCGUGGGGAGCAAACAGGAUUAGAUACCCCCGUA